UUAAUCGGACUCUGGGGAGGUAGAUAAAGGGCUUCAUUGUCAAAAUCCUGAAGUAUCCCUUUAAUGGAAGUUAGGAUUUGCCAAAUCAAUCUCAACUGGAUGUUUUUCCGUGUUAUUUCUUAUGUAAUUUUUACAGCAGCAAUGUUUUAUAAUAACCCAAACAGCUCUUACUCUGGCAAGAUUGUUUUCUUCCAACCCCCUUAAUUAAUUUAUUCUUCACUUUUUGAAGAAUGUGUUUUGUAUCGCAUAAUACUGUGGGAAUUGUAUAUAUCUACAUAUUAUAGAUUGUAUUUUAGAAAAAUGAAAUUUUAAAUGGUUGAAUGUGUUUUGUUUAUUGUUGUUGUUUAUAAAUAGGUACAGUAUAUUUUUUAGACUAAAGCUGGUACUAACCACCAUAACCCGUAUUUGAUAGCCUGGUUCCCGAAUCUGUUUGUGCUGUCUUUGCAUUGUUCCACCUGAUAAUUAAUUGCACCCACCUACUGCCCCAGGUCUAAAUCGAUCCUUGAUUUGGCUAUGUUAUAGGAGUUGUCAAGACAGCACAAACAUAUCUGGAACCAGGCUACGUACCUCUCUUAGGUUGGAAAUGUGAUUUCGGGGAGAAAUGAUCCAAACCAGUGUUAUCUACGGCUUGUUGUCUGGAAGAAAUGAUCCAAACCAGUGUUAUCUACGGCUUGUUGUCUGGAAGAAAUGAUCCAAACCAGUGUUAUAUAUGGCUGGUUGUUUGUCUGUCGUACGCUGAGAGAAUUAUGUUUUAAUGUUUUUACAUAAUGUGUUUAAUUUAUUUAACUAUAUAGUUGUAGGUAAUCUAAACAUGUCUUGUGAUUGUUGUUGUUCAUCCCAAUGUGAUUUGUUCAUUCUCUCUCCAGCCUCCCAGUCAGCCUAAAAGCUGGUUUAUACUAAAGGUCAAACAACAUGUCUGUGUGUACCUACUGGAAUGUGACGUGUCCACAGACCGUCUUUAGACCGACUGUAAAUCGACCUUAAGUUUGGAUCAUCUGCUACCAUAUAGCAGCAGAUUCAUGGAAUGAGUUUAUUCCUGUUGUAGCUCACUGAAAUGAGUUCUAGAAGGUUGUAGCUCACUGAAAUGAGUUCUAGAAGGGUUGUAGCUCACUGAAAUGAGUUCUAGAAGGGUUGUAGCUCGCUGAAAUGAGUUUAUUCCUGUUGUAGCUCACUGAAAUGAGUUCUAGAAGGUUGUAGCUCGCUGAAAUGAGUUUAUUCCUGUUGUAGCUCACUGAAAUGAGUUGUAGAAGGGUUGUAGCUCGCUGAAAUGAGUGUAUUCCUGUUGUAGCUCACUGAAAUGAGUUCUAGAAGGUUGUAGCUCACUGAAAUGAGUUCUAGAAGGUUGUAGCUCACUGAAAUGAGUUGUAGAAGGUUGUAGCUCACUGAAAUGAGUUCUAGAAGGUUGUAGCUCGCUGAAAUGAGUUUAUUCCUGUUGUAGCUCACUGAAAUGAGUUGUAGAAGGGUUGUAGCUCGCUGAAAUGAGUUUAUUCCUGUUGUAGCUCACUGAAAUGAGUUGUAGAAGGUUGUAGCUCACUGAAAUGAGUUUAUUCCUGUUGUAGCUCACUGAAAUGAGUUCUAGAAGGUUGUAGCUCACUGAAAUGAGUUCUAGAAGGUUGUAGCUCACUGAAAUGAGUUGUAGAAGGUUGUAGCUCACUGAAAUGAGUUCUAGAAUGGUUGUAGCUCGCUGAAAUGAGUUUAUUCCUGUUGUAGCUCACUGAAAUGAGUUCUAGAAGGUUGUAGCUCGCUGAAAUGAGUUUAUUCCUGUUGUAGCUCACUGAAAUGAGUUGUAGAAGGGUUGUAGCUCGCUGAAAUGAGUUUAUUCCUGUUGUAGCUCACUGAAAUGAGUUCUAGAAGGUUGUAGCUCACUGAAAUGAGUUCUAGAAGGUUGUAGCUCACUGCAAUGAGUUGUAGAAGGUUGUAGCUCACUGAAAUGAGUUCUAGAAGGUUGUAGCUCGCUGAAAUGAGUUUAUUCCUGUUGUAGCUCACUGAAAUGAGUUGUAGAAGGGUUAUAGCUCGCUGAAAUGAGUUUAUUCCUGUUGUAGCUCACUGAAAUGAGUUGUAGAAGGUUGUAGCUCACUGAAAUGAGUUUAUUCCUGUUGUAGCUCACUGAAAUGAGUUGUAGAAUGUUGUAGCUCACUGAAAUGAGUUUAUUCCUGUUGUAGCUCACUGAAAUUAGUUCUAGAAGGGUUGUAGCUCACUGAAAUGAGUUGUAGAAGGUUGUAGCUCACUGAAAUGAGUUCUAGAAGGUUGUAGCUCGCUGAAAUGAGUUUAUUCCUGUUGUAGCUCACUGAAAUGAGUUGUAGAAGGUUGUAGCUCACUGAAAUGAGUUUAUUCCUGUUGUAGCUCACUGAAAUGAGUUCUAGAAGGGUUGUAGCUCACUGAAAUGAGUUGUAGAAGGUUGUAGCUCGCUGAAAUGAGUUUAUUCCUGUUGUAGCUCACUGAAAUGAGUUGUAGAAGGGUUGUAGCUCGCUGAAAUGAGUUUAUUCCUGUUGUAGCUCACUGAAAUGAGUUGUAGAAGGGUUGUAGCUCGCUGAAAUGAGUUUAUUCCUGUUGUAGCUCACUGAAAUGAGUUCUAGAAGGUUGUAGCUCGCUGAAAUGAGUUGUAUCCUGUUGUAGCUCACUGAUAUUUCAAUUAUGAGGCAUGAGAUGAUUGUAAUAUUUUUGCUAAAAUGUUGAAAACAAUAAAAUAUUUAUCUAGUUAAA